UGACGCUAAAGCUCGAAGGUGCGGGUAUCGAACAGGAUUAGAUACCCUAGUAGUCCGCACGGUAAACGACGGAUGCCCGCUAUUUGCGAUAUACAGUAAGCGGCCAAGAGAAAUCGUUAAGCAUCCCACCUGGGGAGUACGCCGGCAACGGUGAAACUCAAAGGAAUAGACGGGGGCCCGCACAAGCGGAGGAACAUGUGGUUUAAUUCGAUGAUACGCGAGGAACCUUACCCGGGCUUGAACUGCCAGCGAACGAUACAGAGAUGUUGAGGCCCUUCGGGGCGCUGGUGGAGGUGCUGCAUGGUUGUCGUCAGCUCGUGCCGUGAGGUGUCGGCUUAAGUGCCAUAACGAGCGCAACCCUUUUCAUCAGUUGCCAUCAGGUGAUGCUGGGCACUCUGGUGAUACUGCCGCCGUAAGGUGUGAGGAAGGUGGGGAUGACGUCAAAUCAGCACGGCCCUUACGUCCGGGGCUACACACGUGUUACAAUGGGGCAUACAGAAGGCAGGAACAUGGCAACAUGUUUCAAAUCUUAAAAGUGCUCCUCAGUUCGGAUUGGGGUCUGCAACCCGACCCCAUGAAGCUGGAUUCGCUAGUAAUCGCG
rnacentral:rRNA from 1 species